UUGUCCCAGCAGAGCACUCAAAUCUUGCAUUAGAAGCAGAAACAUUGUUAGUACUGCUAAAAGAGCAUCUUUAACCCAAGAUCUUUAUUGGACAACUCCUGUAGUUAGAGCAAGAGCUGGAGAAGAUAGCAUAUGAGUGCCUGCUAGCAGCCCCAGGGACACAUAUGGAGAAAAGUUAUUUUUCUUCCUUUUUGCUUUUUAAUUCAUCACUUGACUUUAAGCAUGCAUCUAGCCAAGCUGUGCAGAGAGUGACUUGCUGAAGAGAAGACUGUAAGGUAGGAUUAGAGGUUCUGUUCAAGACAAAAUCUGCCUCAGUCUAGAGAACAAUCCCACCACAAAAUAAAAUUAAAAGUAAUGAGAUUUCCCACUGUUAAUUUAACAGCAGCAAACCACAUGUUCUAAACAAUGUUCUAAUUUUUUUUUUUUUUUUGGUAUAAGGAGUCAUUUUUAGUAACAACUCCCAGACUAUUAGCCCUGCCAUUUUUCCACUGCUGGAGGAAAAUAUGGACUCUUGCUGAGCUGUAUGAUUGGUUAUUCAUACUUCCUGGCAGUGGUUAUAAGAGGAGGAUGACUGAGAAUUCAGUAGGUGAGUUAAUCUCAUUUUUACUGUGUCUCAAGAGCCACCCACUUUCCCUUCAUAUGACUCGAUACCAGAAGGUUCUUACAGGUUUUG
rnacentral:lncRNA from 1 species